rnacentral:lncRNA from 1 species
UUUCGCAUAUAACUAUCAUCCAAGCACCUUGUUCAUGCCUCAUCAUGCCGUGCCGGAGUUUAGAUUUCUUGUAGACUUGGAACAACACAUUUUUCUAUGUAGAGUAAUUGUUCAAUUUUUUUUAUUAUCUCUUUAAUUUGAAAGAUCAUAUGUUUUGGUUUCUUUAGAAAUUUGAUGUGAGGGUAGCUUACUUUUUGGCUCAACAUUUUUGCUCCAGGCCCGUGUUUCUUAUA